GGGGUGCAGCUCAGUUUGUAGAGUGCUUGCCUUGAAUGUACAAGAACCUAGGUUCAAUCCCCAGUACCACA
rnacentral:tRNA from 1 species